AACGCGAAGAACCUUACCUGGGUUUGACAUGGAUCGGGAGUGCUCAGAGAUGGGUGUGCCUCUUUUGGGGUCGGUUCACAGGUGGUGCAUGGCUGUCGUCAGCUCGUGUCGUGAGAUGUUGGGUUAAGUCCCGCAACGAGCGCAACCCUUGUUCACUGUUGCCAGCACGUUAUGGUGGGGACUCAGUGGAGACCGCCGGGGUCAACUCGGAGGAAGGUGGGGAUGACGUCAAGUCAUCAUGCCCCUUAUGUCCAGGGCUUCACGCAUGCUACAAUGGCUGGUACAGAGAGUGGCGAGCCUGUGAGGGUGAGCGAAUCUCGGAAAGCCGGUCUCAGUUCGGAUUGGGGUCUGCAACUCGACCUCAUGAAGUCGGAGUCGCUAGUAAUCGCAGAUCAGCAUCG
rnacentral:rRNA from 1 species